UCGAUAACGAACGAGACCUCGACCUGCUAAAUAGUUCGACAAAGGAUUCUUUCUUUGGACGUGACUUCUUAGAGGGACUAUUGACUAUUAGUCAAUGGAAGUUUGAGGCAAUAACAGGUCUGUGAUGCCCUUAGAUGUUCUGGGCCGCACGCGCGCUACACUGAUCAAGUCAACGAGUUUACAACCUUGGCCGGAAGGUCUGGGUAAUCUUUUGAAACUUGAUCGUGCUGGGGAUAGUCCAUUGCAAUUAUUGGACUUCAACGAGGAAUUCCUAGUAAGCGUGAGUCAUCAGCUCGCGUUGAUUACGUCCCUGCCCUUUGUACACACCGCCCGUCGCUAAUACCGAUUGAAUGGAUG
rnacentral:rRNA from 1 species